AGGUCUCAGCUGCAGGUUCUUUAGCUCAUACAGAUAAUGUCUCUUUUUCUAAUUCAAAUCUCCUUCUAAAUGCUAACAUUGAGAAAAUUGGAUCUGUCAUAAACUCAGACAACAAGCAAAAUGUUAACUUUGAACACCUCAAUGUCAAUCUUUUGGCAAGAAAUUUAGCUCCUGCUUUGAGCUUCAUUGAGAAAAUUGUAUCUGUCAUAAACUCAGACAACAAGCAAAAUGUUAACUUUGAACACCUCAAUGUCAAUCUUUUGGCAAGAAAUUUACCUCCUGCUUUGAGCUUUCAAGAACAACAAUCAGAACAGAGUUCUGCUUAUGUUAAUAUGCUAGGCUCAUUGUCAUAUGAUAUAAGUCAAGAGCAGCCCCCGCCCAAACG
rnacentral:lncRNA from 1 species